UACGUAGGGUCCGAGCGUUGUCCGGAAUUACUGGGCGUAAAGAGCUCGUAGGUGGUUUGUCGCGUUGUUCGUGAAAACUCACAGCUCAACUGUGGGCGUGCGGGCGAUACGGGCAGACUAGAGUACUGCAGGGGAGACUGGAAUUCCUGGUGUAGCGGUGGAAUGCGCAGAUAUCAGGAGGAACACCGGUGGCGAAGGCGGGGUCUCUGGGCAGUAACUGACGCUGAGGAGCGAAAGCAUGGGGGAGCGAACAGG
rnacentral:rRNA from 1 species